rnacentral:snRNA from 1 species
AGCUUUGUGCAGUGGCGAUAUCCUAGCCAAUGAGGUUUAUCCAAUGUGUGAUUAUUGCUAAUUGAAAUAUAAUGGAUAUGUAACAUUGUAUAAGUUUAAGGUGUACAGUAUUUUGAUUUAUACUUACACA